rnacentral:rRNA from 1 species
UACGGAGGGUGCGAGCGUUGUCCGGAAUCACUGGGCGUAAAGGGCGUGUAGGCGGUCCGCUAAGUCUGAUGUGAAAGCCCGGGGCUCACCCCCGGAAGGGCAUUGGAAACUGGCGGGCUCGAGUCCCGGAGAGGAAGGUGGAAUUCCUGGUGUAGCGGUGAAAUGCGUAGAUAUCAGGAGGAAUACCGGUGGCGAAGGCGGCCUGCUGGACGGUGACUGACGCUGAGACGCGAAAGCGUGGGGAGCAAACAGG